ensembl:lncRNA
GCUCAAACUGUGAUCCUCACAGUGAGUUCAAAAUUUUGAGGAUCGUGAUCAUCACAUGGUCUCAUGUGUUGAUUGGGAUACUAUGUAUAUCUACAGCUUUUAUUUGUUUGAUGCCUAAAAAUUCCUCUGCAGCUGCCACUUCUGUCUUGACUGAGAGACUUCUGUUGUGAGAGAUGGCGUUGUGGUAUGGAACGCGGACGGUGCCAAUAUUCUUUAAACGAAACGCGUGAUUUUUGACCGCGUCAACACGCACUAUUUGUUCGCGUUAACGCGUCAACAAGCAAAGCAGCCAAUGAAAUGCUGUUUUUGAGACUAUAUUUGCAUAUGGGACGCGAUGAUUCAAAAGUCAACAGCCAUAACCAUGGCUCUUAGAAAUUUUUUAGCAAACUGCCAACGAACAUUUUCAGACUGCGUGCAGCUGGCUUCUUCUAACCACAAUGAAGAUUUGAAUCUUGUGAUAUUACGAAUGCAGACAAUGGCCAGAAGUGUGGUAUGGUCAAGAAGGAGAAUGCUGGAUCCUGGUGAAAUGAAAUGCUGGACCAGGUAUCUGAGUUUCUGGAUCAUUUGGAAACAUUGACUCAGCAGCACGGGCUAUAGUGCUCCCUUGGUAAGGGGCUCAUCUGGCCGUCCACGAUUCUCCAUAACCGAAGAACAGUUGCGUUUUCUGAUAGAAUAUAACUUUUCUACAAGACAAAUGGCAGAAAUCUUGUGUGUGUCCAGGCGAACUGUGAAACAUCGUUUAAGGUGAGGUGUUCAGUACUGAGCAGAAAAUAUUUAUUAUACCCUAAAGCUAAUGAAUUGAUUGAUUGAUUGACUGAUUAUAAACAAUAUUAACUUAAUAUACAUAAUAGAGGAGAAUUUAUUACUUUCAAGAGUCCGCUGUGAUAAUGGAGGGGAGAAUAAUGCAGUCUGCCUAUUUAUGAAUGUCUUCCGGGGAUUCACCAGAGGAAGUGCUCUAAGAGGAAGGAGCACACACAACCAGAGAAUUGAGGGAAUGUUAGGGGGAUGUUUGGUGGGGCAUCUCCAAUACUUACUAUGCCUUAUUCAUGCUUUUGGAAAGUGAAGGUAAAAUUGACAGUACCAAUGAAAUGCACCUUUGGGCAUUACAUUAUGUGUAUAUACCUCAAAUCAACAGGGAUCUCCAACUGUUCAUUCAUCAAUGGAACCACCACAAGCUGAGAACUGUACGGUACAUGUCUCCCCAUCAACUCUUCAUUUGAGGAUGUCUCUCACAGCUAACUCGAAACCAGACAGGGAUAUGUGGAAUCCUUGGAGCAGAUGAGGAGCCUGUUGCAGAUGUAAACAUAACCUCCAGCUUCAGAAGAAGUUACACCCCAAGCUUUUCACACAAUUUUCCACUGGCCAGAAUCUGUUGAGGUUCCUGCCAACCACUUCAACAUUCAAGCAGGAGUAAUGGGACAACUUGUUCAGCAGGUCAACCCUCUUGGUGGAAGACGUGAUGAUUUAGGAACUGAUCUUUUAGAGCAAGUUAUUAACUUCCUUGGAAAUAUUCCUCAUCCCAUAUAGAUCACACUUACACUGGAACAAAUGUUUGGAAUAUUUAAGAUUUUUAAUGCUUUUUCUUAUGG